rnacentral:rRNA from 1 species
AUUGAACGCUGGCGGCAUGCCUUACACAUGCAAGUCGAACGGCAGCACGGGAGCUUGCUCCUGGUGGCGAGUGGCGAACGGGUGAGUAAUGCAUCGGAACGUACCCGGAAGUGGGGGAUAACGUAGCGAAAGUUACGCUAAUACCGCAUAUUCUGUGAGCAGGAAAGAGGGGGAUCGCAAGACCUCUCGCUUUCGGAGCGGCCGAUGGCGGAUUAGCUAGUUGGUGGGGUAAAGGCCUACCAAGGCGACGAUCCGUAGCGGGUCUGAGAGGAUGAUCCGCCACACUGGAACUGAGACACGGUCCAGACUCCUACGGGAGGCAGCAGUGGGGAAUUUUGGACAAUGGGCGAAAGCCUGAUCCAGCCAUGCCGCGUGAGUGAAGAAGGCCUUCGGGUCGUAAAGCUCUUUCGGCUGAAAAGAAAUCGCACAGGUUAAUACCCUGUGUGGAUGACGGUAUCAGCAUAAGAAGCACCGGCUAACUACGUGCCAGCCGCCGCCGUAA